UACGGAGGGAGCUAGCGUUGUUCGGAAUUACUGGGCGUAAAGCGCGCGUAGGCGGCUUUGUAAGUUAGAGGUGAAAGCCCGGGGCUCAACUCCGGAAUUGCCUUUAAGACUGCAUCGCUAGAAUUGUGGAGAGGUAAGUGGAAUCCCGAGUGUAGAGGUGAAAUUCGUAGAUAUUCGGAAGAACACCAGUGGCGAAGGCGACUUACUGGACACAUAUUGACGCUGAGGUGCGAAAGCGUGGGGAGCAAACAGG
rnacentral:rRNA from 1 species